rnacentral:rRNA from 1 species
AGAACGAACGCUGGCGGCAGGCCUAAUACAUGCAAGUCGAACGGAUGUAGCAAUACAUUAGUGGCGCACGGGAGAGUAACGCGUGGGAACCUACCUUUUGGUUUGGGAUAACGUCGGGAAACUGACGCUAAUACCAGAUAAGCCCUUCGGGGGAAAGAUUUAUCGCCGAUAGAUGGGCCCGCGUUAGAUUAGCUAGUUGGUGAGGUAAUGGCUCACCAAGGCGACGAUCUAUAGCUGGUCUGAGAGGAUGACCAGCCUCACUGGGACUGAGACACGGCCCAGACUCCUACGGGAGGCAGCAGUAGGGAAUAUUGGACAAUGGGGGCAACCCUGGUCCAGCCAUGCCGCGUGAAUGAUGAAGGCCUUCGGGUUGUAAAGUUCUUUGGUGGGACGAUGAUGACGGUACCACGGAAUAAGCCCCGGCUAACUUCGUGCCAGCAGCCGC